rnacentral:lncRNA from 1 species
CGGAUGGGUCUCGGAGGACAUCGACUGGUGUGCCGUUUGGUGGACAUCCGAUGAAAAAAGCUCCUCCUGUCGAGCGUCCGUUGCUUUGCAGCCUGGAAGAUCUGUAUAGAGGGGUUGACAAGAAAUUGAAGAUUACCAGAACUGUAACUGAUCAUGAUGGGUAAAUCAAUUUUAAACCCUAACUUUAUUAUUGUUAUGAUUCUGAUAUGCCUUGUUUGAUUUUUAGCUAAUUAUUCACUCAAUAUUGUUAUGAUUCUGAUAUGCCUAGUUGGAUUUUUGUUGUAAUUGAUUAGUUUAUAGGUUUAAAUGCAUUGUUGAUUGAAUUUGAAACUAUUUUGAGUAAAUAUGAGCUUGGAAAUUGAAUUUAAUUACUAAUUAUUAGUAAUACAAGCUCAUCUAAUCAUGCUUCUGAAAUUGAAGUCACAACAAUCCCCCUUUUGCUUAGAGUGAUUGAUAGUUACACCUGACUAUAGUUGUGAUAACUGGGCAACUCAAUGCAAAAGUUGAUUGUAUGAAAUUGGAAUUGAUUUAGUUACUAAUUUAAACUCAUCUAAUUCUGUUUGUGAAAUUGAAGUGGCAACCCCUUUUUGCUGGUGCCAGUUAUAUAUUUUUAUGUGGAUGACACCUAGGAACAAUGCUAAGCUUUAGGGGAUGAUCUAUGUUUUGGAUUUUGAUCCUCUUCUAAUAUUUGGUUCUCUUGGAGAUAAAUGUUGAAUGUUGAAAUGUUGGGUUACCUAAUGAAGUUGAAAUGUAUGAAUGAGUUGUAAAGUAAUUAAAUCAUUGUAAGUGAUUUGAAUGUAUGCUUGAAAAAUAUGAAUUUAACAUACACCCUCAAACCCUCAAACUCAAUCAUAGGAGCCACAAUGUUUCAUUUAGAUCAGAUGUGCAAUACACAUUUCUUAGAAGGUUCAACGCCCAAGAUGGCAUAUACUGCAGUUAAGGAUUAGACCUUAAACUGAUAAGGAUAGGAUAGGGUCUUUUAGGAUUUAAUUUUUUAAUUUGGUUUUCAUAUUUCUCCAGAUAGGAUUAGGAUAUAAUUAUACAAGAUCUGCCUUUUAUUUAGUUUCCUUGUUUCAGGAUUUGUUUUCUAUAGAAGUGGAUGGUUUCUAUUAUUGAAUGAUAAGCAAUAACUAAUAUUAAAAACUCGGAGAUUUCUACUCUCUUGAAGCAUUAGCAUCCAUCAUAGGACAUUGUGGGCUCUGUCAUUUUCUAGUAUGCAGAAAAUUUUCAUUGGCCAUAUCUUUAACAACAAAAGUAGUUUUCUGGUUGGCUCUUAACCUCUUUCUAUUUUACAUAUGGUAUGCUGUCAUUAUAGGAGUUAAGUAUAACACAUCCCCAAAAAUUGAUAAUUUAUUGUGAAAGGGAAUGUGAUAGCGUGGUAUCUAAUGGUGGAUAACAUAGUUCAUUUGAUUCAAUGAUUAUUUCUAAAAAUCAUCGAGUAGGGAUCAUUUUAAAUUUUCUCUCAAUUAUGAAUUUUGGUCUUUUCUGUUGGUUGAGAAUCUUACUGGAAGUUUCCUUGUGCAUCGUAAAAUUUGUGCUUCCUUUUAGUUACAAGGUUGAAGUGGGAUUUGAUCCAAGUUUGUGAAACACCUUGGAAAUAGUGAAAAGUCAUUUUUCACUAAUUCUUGUGCAAAUCCUAGAAAAAUAGGACAUGGAUUGAAAAUAAUUUUAGCAUUUUUCCAAUUAAAAGUGAAACCAAAACAAGUGUUUGAAAAUAAGAAGCAAACUGUACGCAACAUAAUCCUUUUCUGACAAUUAAAGAAAAAAUGUGAUUUUAUAUUGGAAGCAGAAAUGAAACCAAACACCCUAGAAGUUUGUAUUUUGAAUUUUUUUGGUAUUUGUUAUGACUAUAUAUGUGAAUCAGAGGGAAAAUUAACUAAUAAGAAAAAUUAAGUAAUCAAAUAAAAACAUACAAAUUGAAAUGGAUAUGUUAAAAACUGAUUUUAAUAGUUCAGUUUUUGUUAGUACAGUUUGUAUGUGGAUAUGAUUAGACCGAUUUAUCUGUUACUAUUUUCCCUUAGCAGGAGAUCUGUUUUCUUGUUUUAAUUGUUAAGACAUAGAGGUCGUAAUACAUCCAAAGAUAUAAAGUUCAGAGUAUAUUCAGAACUAAAGUGUGGUAGUUUAUCAUACUACUAUAUUACAUGGAAGAAAGGGGGAAAGAAUUGGCAAGUUAUUCUAGUAGCAGGAUCAUCUUUUAAGAAAAUUACUUCAACAGUUCUUUCAUAGAAGAAAUGAAUAUUUUUUGUUUGCUUACAAUGUUUGAUGCAUGCAAACUAUUUCAGGAGGAGUCGUCCUGAGGAGGAAAUUGUGACUAUUAAUAUAAAACCUGGCUGGAAGAAGGGGACAAAGCUUACCUUCACUGAAAAGGGUGACCAAGAGCCUGGCAUCAUCCCAGCUGAUAUCACUUUUGUGAUUGAGGAGAAACCACAUGCACGUUAUAUAAGGAAUGGCAAUGAUUUGAUAAUUAAUCAAAAGAUGACUCUCGUCGACGCCCUUACAAAUAAAAUAUUGGAAAUCCCUACCUUGGAUGGGAGGCGACUCAUGGUCCAGUUGUCAGGUAUAAUCACACCUGGCUAUGUGCACGUAGUACCUAAUGAAGGAAUGCCAUUAUCCAAAGAACCUGGAAGGAAGGGAAAUUUAAAAAUUAAGAUCGUUGACAUCAAGUAUCCCUCGAGUCUAACUCCUCAGCAAAGAUCUGAUCUGAGGGGAGUCUUAAGUUGAAUCAAGUAAAUUUUUGUGUAUGCACAUUAUGAAUAUAUGAUGUGCAUGGUAUUUAUGCAUGUGAAUAGGGACGAAUUGGAGUGCUUACUAAGAGCUAGAAUACCAGGGUGCCAUACUUGAUUUUUUGCAGGGUAGGAAACGUAAGUUAAUGAUAGGAAGCAUCAAUCUUGGUGAAACAAAUAGGUAGUUAAAUUCUGUUGGUUUUUCAUUAUUUUAC